GACGAACGCUGGCGGUGUGCUUAACACAUGCAAGUCGAACGGUAAGGCCCUUUCGGGGGUACACGAGUGGCGAACGGGUGAGUAACACGUGAGUAACCUGCCCUCAUCUCUGGGAUAACAGUCGGAAACGGUUGCUAAUACUGGAUAUGAGCUUGCAAGGCAUCUUGUGGGUUGGAAAGAUUUUUUUUGGUUGGGGAUGGACUCGCGGCCUAUCAGCUUGUUGGUGAGGUAGUGGCUCACCAAGGCUUCGACGGGUAGCCGGCCUGAGAGGGCGACCGGCCACAUUGGGACUGGGAUACGGCCCAAACUCCUACGGGAGGCAGCAGUGGGGAAUAUUGCACAAUGGACGGAAGUCUGAUGCAGCAACGCCGCGUGCGGGAUGACGGCCUUCGGGUUGUAAACCGCUUUCAAUUGUGACGAAGCUUUUUUGUGACGGUAGCAGUAGAAGAAGCACCGGCUAACUACGUG
rnacentral:rRNA from 1 species